GAUGAAGAACGUAGCAAAAUGCGAUACUUGGUGUGAAUUGCAGAAUCCCGUGAGCCAUCGAGUUUUUGAACGCAAGUUGCGCCCGAAGCCUUUUGGCCGAGGGCACGUCUGCCUGGGCGUCACGCAUCGCGUCGCCCCCAACAAAUUCUCCGUCAGGGGAGCUUGUGUUUCGGGGGCGGAUACUGGUCUCCCGUGCUCAUGGCGCGGUUGGCCGAAAUAGGAGUCCCUUCGAUGGACGCACGAACUAGUGGUGGUCGUAAAAACCCUCGUCUUUUGUUUCGUGCCGUUAGUCGCGAGGGAAGCUCUUCAAAAACCCCAGCGCGUCGUCUCUUGACGGCGCUUCGACCGCGACCCCAGGUCAGGCGGGACUACCCGCUGAGUUUAAGCAUAUCAAUAAGCGGAGGA
rnacentral:misc_RNA from 1 species